rnacentral:rRNA from 1 species
GACGAACGCUGGCGGCGUGCUUAACACAUGCAAGUCGAACGGAAAGGCCCUGCUUUUGUGGGGUGCUCGAGUGGCGAAGGGGUGAGUAACACGUGAGUAACCUGCCCUUGACUUUGGGAUAACUUCAGGAAACUGGGGCUAAUACCGGAUAGGAGCUACUGCUGCAUGGUGGGGGUUGGAAAGUUUCGGCGGUUGGGGAUGGACUCGCGGCUUAUCAGCUUGUUGGUGGGGUAGUGGCUUACCAAGGCUUUGACGGGUAGCCGGCCUGAGAGGGUGACCGGCCACAUUGGGACUGAGAUACGGCCCAGACUCCUACGGGACGCAGCAGUGGGGAAUAUUGCACAAUGGGCGGAAGCCUGAUGCAGCAACGCCGCGUGCGGGAUGACGGCCUUCGGGUUGUAAACCGCUUUCGCCUGUGACGAAGCGUGAGUGACGGUAAUGGGUAAAGAAGCACCGGCUAACUACGUG